rnacentral:rRNA from 1 species
UACGUACCGCACAAACGUUAUUCGGAAUCACUGGGCUUAAAGGGUGCGUAGGCGGCCUGGAAGGUGGGGUGUGAAAUCCCUCGGCUUAACCGAGGAACUGCGCUCCAAACCGCCAGGCUUGAGGAAGGCAGAGGUGAGCGGAACUGAUGGUGGAGCGGUGAAAUGCGUUGAUAUCAUCAGGAACACCAGUGGCGAAGGCGGCUCACUGGGCCUUUUCUGACGCUGAGGCACGAAAGCUAGGGUAGCGAACGGG